GUAAAAGUCGUAACAAGGUCUCCGUAGGUGAACCUGCGGAGGGAUCAUUACCGAGAUAGGGCCCUCUCCGGGCCCGACCCUUCCCACCCCAUGCGUACCUACCUUUGUUGCUUUGGCGGGCCGCGGGGCUUCGGCCCCCCGUCGGCUUCGGCGGACGAGCGCCCGUCAGAGACCCCCUCAAACCCGUUUUAUGGUGAAGUCCGAGCAGCGAUGUAAUAGCUAAAACUUUCAACAACGGAUCUCUUGGUUCUGGCAUCGAUGAAGAACGCAGCGAAAUGCGAUAAGUAAUGUGAAUUGCAGAAUUCAGUGAAUCAUCGAAUCUUUGAACGCACAUUGCGCCUCCUGGUAUUCCGGGAGGCAUGCCUGUUCGAGCGUCGUUAAACCUCUCGAGCCCAGCUCGGUGUUGGGGGUCGUCCCCUGGGGCGCCCCCGAAAAUCAGCGGCGAUGCGGCCGGUCCUCGAGCGCAGUAAAACUUUUGUUCCGCUGCGAGGCCCCGGGCGUGUCCGCCGGACAAACCCCCAUACAUCCACGAUUGACCUCGGAUCAGGUAGGGAUACCCGCUGAACUUA
rnacentral:rRNA from 1 species